rnacentral:rRNA from 1 species
UGAACGCUGGCGGUAGGCCUACCACAUGCACGUCGAACGGCAGCACAGUAAGAGCUUGCUCUUACGGGUGGCGAGUGGCGGACGGGUGAGGAAUACAUCGGAAUCUACUUUUUCGUGGGGGAUAACGUAGGGAAACUUACGCUAAUACCGCAUACGACCUACGGGUGAAAGCAGGGGAUCUUCGGACCUUGCGCGAUUGAAUGAGCCGAUGUCGGAUUAGCUAGUUGGCGGGGUAAAGGCCCACCAAGGCGACGAUCCGUAGCUGGUCUGAGAGGAUGAUCAGCCACACUGGAACUGAGACACGGUCCAGACUCCUACGGGAGGCAGCAGUGGGGAAUAUUGGACAAUGGGCGCAAGCCUGAUCCAGCCAUACCGCGUGGGUGAAGAAGGCCUUCGGGUUGUAAAGCCCUUUUGUUGGGAAAGAAAAGCAGCAGGUUAAUACCCCGCUGUUCUGACGGUACCCAAAGAAUAAGCACCGGCUAACUUCGUG